AAGUAUCCCAAGGCUGCUAACAAGUUUUCCCACCCCAACCUAGACCAUAUAUUCUAACUAUAAAGAUUAGACGAGACAAGGCCCCAUGCAAAACAAAACAAAACAAAACAAAGACAGUUGAGAAGUAACUGCCCAAAUCUUAUCUCUGUUAUAAUACAUGAGCUAAAUUUUAAAAUAAUCAGUGGGUUGUAGUUAUGAAUGGUAAGUUCAAGCAUCUGUUGUUACAAGCAGAGUUAAACAGUCCACACCUGACACCUCAGGAAUUUAAGUGAUAAAAGUAUUUGAUAUUUUUAAAGAAUAAAUAAAUAAUGCCUAUUUAGGUAGAAAACCUUUUGUUUUGGUGCCAUCUAAUAUCAAUCUGUUCUAUUAGUAACUUACAUAAACAUCUCAUGCAAAGAAAUAGCUUGGAAAAAGUGGAUUUGUUCCAAUGGUGUCCCUGAUGCCAAGUCUGAUGUUAAAGCUAUAUUGUAAAAUAAAAGAAUAUAAUUAUAAGAA
rnacentral:sRNA from 1 species